rnacentral:rRNA from 1 species
AUUCUGGAGGUACGCUCUAUAACCCUUUGUGAACAUACCUAUAACUGUUGCUUCGGCGGGUAGGGUCUCCGUGACCCUCCCGGCCUCCCGCCCCCGGGCGGGUCGGCGCCCGCCGGAGGAUAACCAAACUCUGAUUUAACGACGUUUCUUCUGAGUGGUACAAGCAAAUAAUCAAAACUUUUAACAACGGAUCUCUUGGUUCUGGCAUCGAUGAAGAACGCAGCGAAAUGCGAUAAGUAAUGUGAAUUGCAGAAUUCAGUGAAUCAUCGAAUCUUUGAACGCACAUUGCGCCCGCCAGCAUUCUGGCGGGCAUGCCUGUUCGAGCGUCAUUUCAACCCUCAAGCUCUGCUUGGUGUUGGGGCCCUACAGCUGAUGUAGGCCCUCAAAGGUAGUGGCGGACCCUCCCGGAGCCUCCUUUGCGUAGUAACUUUACGUCUCGCACUGGGAUCCGGAGGGACUCUUGCCGUAAAACCCCCAAUUCUCCAAAGGUUGACCUCGGAUCAGGUAGGAAUACCCGCUGAACUUAAGCAUAUCAAUAGCCCGGAGGAAA